rnacentral:rRNA from 1 species
UACAUGGGGUGCAAACGUUGCUCGGAAUUAUUGGGCGUAAAGCGCACGUAGGCGGUCCGUUAAGUCGGAUGUGAAAUCCCCCGGCUCAACCGGGGAAGUGCAUCCGAAACUGGCGGGCUAGAGUACGAAAGAGGGUCGCGGAAUUCCCGGUGUAGAGGUGAAAUUCGUAGAUAUCGGGAGGAACACCGGUGGCGAAGGCGGCGACCUGGGUCGAUACUGACGCUGAGGUGCGAAAGCAUGGGGAGCGAACAGG